AGAGUUUGAUCCUGGCUCAGGACGAACGCUGGCGGCGUGCUUAACACAUGCAAGUCGAACGGAAAGGCCCUGCUUUUGUGGGGUGCUCGAGUGGCGAACGGGUGAGUAACACGUGAGUAACCUGCCCUUGACUUUGGGAUAACUUCAGGAAACUGGGGCUAAUACCGGAUAGGAGCUCCUGCUGCAUGGUGGGGGUUGGAAAGUUUCGGCGGUUGGGGAUGGACUCGCGGCUUAUCAGCUUGUUGGUGGGGUAGUGGCUUACCAAGGCUUUGACGGGUAGCCGGCCUGAGAGGGUGACCGGCCACAUUGGGACUGAGAUACGGCCCAGACUCCUACGGGAGGCAGCAGUGGGGAAUAUUGCACAAUGGGCGCAAGCCUGAUGCAGCGACGCCGCGUGAGGGAUGACGGCCUUCGGGUUGUAAACCUCUUUCAGCAGGGACGAAGCGUAAGUGACGGUACCUGCAGAAGAAGCGCCGGCUAACUACGUGCCAGCAGCCGCGGUAAUACGUAGGGCGCAAGCGUUGUCCGGAAUUAUUGGGCGUAAAGAGCUCGUAGGCGGUUUGUCGCGUCUGCUGUGAAAUCCCGAGGCUCAACCUCGGGCCUGCAGUGGGUACGGGCAGACUAGAGUGCGGUAGGGGAGAUUGGAAUUCCUGGUGUAGCGGUGGAAUGCGCAGAUAUCAGGAGGAACACCGAUGGCGAAGGCAGAUCUCUGGGCCGUAACUGACGCUGAGGAGCGAAAGGGUGGGGAGCAAACAGGAUUAGAUACCCUGGUAGUCCAUGCCGUAAACGAUGAUCAUUAGCCGGUAGAAAUUUUACUGGCGCAGCUAACGCAUUAAAUGAUCCGCCUGAGUAGUAUGCUCGCAAGAGUGAAACUUAAAGGAAUUGACGGGGACCCGCA
rnacentral:rRNA from 1 species